CUCUUGUCUCGUGGAUAUCUCACCUCUCAGACAGCAGAAAUAAAAGCCUGUUGUAACAGGAAGAGUAAUGAUCUGGUGGAAGGCUCCUGCAGCUGCACCACCAGGGCAGAUCUUCUACAAGUGGAGCUGUUUGCCAGCAGGAUUUUGUCCUGGGCCCAGCUGGGAGCUCAAGGCAGCUGGAGAAGCAGAGAUGCUUGCAGAGUUCCUGAGCAGCAGUCCCUGCCUGGAGGAAACCCUUCUCCCUCUCUCUCUGCUGCAUCUGGAGACAUUGUGAGAACCUUGGAGCAUGCAGGCAUUUGGACCUCUCAGCAAUGGAGAAUUUUGUCUCCAAAAUUCCUGGUCUAUUUUUGAAAUAUGGCCAUGAUGUGAGUGUGAUUUGAGGGACGGAGAACUUAUCCAGAACUCAGCACUUCUGGAGGUCUCAGAUGAGAACACAUCCCUCAAUGAAUCUGCUACAGACAACAGCUACUGGGCAAUCUGUGAGCUCAUCCAGAGCAGGACUUGGCUCAGCCUUCCCUACAUUUGCCUUGAAUGCAACAUCCCAGCUUGAUCAUAGCUGGAGCUUCCCCUCAUCAAAGCAGAAAAUAAGCAGAAGAACCAACCACCUGCCACUCACUUGGUCACCUCAACAAAGCCAGGCUGGGGCUGAGAAUCAAUAGCAAUGAAACUGAGCCUUUGUGGUGAGUUCUGUCUGAACUGGGAGAGCAAACAACACCUGGAGGAGCUGGGGAUGGGC